UACGUAGGGUGCAAGCGUUGCCCGGAUUUAUUGGGCGUAAAGGGCGCGCAGGCGGCCGCGCACGUUCGUUGUGAAAUCGCCCGGCUCAACUGGGCGGGGUCAGCGAAUACGGCGUGGCUGGAGCAAGCUAGGGGGCAAUGGAAUUCCCGGUGUAGUGGUGGAAUGCGUAGAUAUCGGGAGGAACACCAGUGGCGAAGGCGGUUGCCUGGAGCUUUGCUGACGCUGAGGCGCGAAAGCGUGGGGAGCGAUCCGG
rnacentral:rRNA from 1 species